rnacentral:Y_RNA from 1 species
GGCUGGUCCGCAGGUAGUGAGUUAUCUCACUUGAUUGUUCGCAGUUACAGAUCGAACUCCUUGUUCUAAUACUUCCCCCCUUCUCACUACUGCACUUGAUUAGUCAAAA